GAACCGUCAAUUGCUGUUACUAAAAGUCGGAAAUGGAUCCUCUCCAUUUUUUUGGUCACUAGAGAGAAUAAAGUGUAAUCUCCCACCUUUAAUUCUACAAGUAGGACCAGUAAUAAAUAAGAAAGAGAA